rnacentral:rRNA from 1 species
ACUGCUCAGUAACACGUGGACAACCUGCCCUUAGGUUGGGUAUAAACCCGGGAAACUGGGUAUAAUACCCGAUAGGUCUCGAUUGCUGGAAUGCAUCGAGAUUUAAAGCUCCGGCGCCUAAGGAUGGGUCUGCGGCCUAUCAGGUAGUUGUUGGGGUAACGGCCCAACAAGCCUUUGAUCGGUACGGGUUGUGGGAGCAAGAGCCCGGAGAUGGAUUCUGAGACACGAAUCCAGGCCCUACGGGGCGCAGCAGGCGCGAAAACUUUACAAUGCGGGAAACCGUGAUAAGGGAACUCCGAGUGUCCGUCAAUGCGGACUGUCCGUAUGUUUAAAAAGCAUGCGAAGAAAGGGCCGGGCAAGACCGGUGCCAGCCGCCGCGGUAAUACCGGCGGCUCGAGUGGUGGCCACUAUUACUGGGCUUAAAGCGUUCGUAGCUGGGUUGUUAAGUCUCUUGGGAAAUCUAUCGGCUUAACCGAUAGGCGUCCAAGGGAUACUGGCAAUCUAGGGACCGGGAGAGGUGGGGGGUACUUCAGGGGUAGGAGUGAAAUCCUGUAAUCCUUGGGGGACCACCUGUGGCGUAGGCGCCUCACCAGAACGGCUCCGACAGUGAGGGACGAAAGCUGGGGGAGCAAACCGGAUUAGAUACCCGGGUAGUCCCAGCCGUAAACGAUGCGCGUUAGGUGUAUCGAUGACCACGAGUCAUCGAGGUGCCGAAGGGAAACCGUGAAACGCGCCGCCUGGGAAGUACGGUCGCAAGGCUGAAACUUAAAGGAAUUGGCGGGGGAGCAC